rnacentral:rRNA from 1 species
UACGUAGGGGGCAAGCGUUGUCCGGAAUCAUUGGGCGUAAAGGGCGCGUAGGUGGCCCGGUCAGCGUGCGGUGAAAGCUCGGGGCUCAACCCCGAGUCGGCCGUGCGAACUGCUGGGCUUGAGCACUGUAGAGGCAGGCGGAAUUGCGGGUGUAGCGGUGGAAUGCGUAGAGAUCCGGAAGAACACCGGUGGCGAAAGCGGCUCUCUGGGACGGUACUGACGCUGAGACGCGAAAGCGUGGGGAGCGAACAGG